rnacentral:rRNA from 1 species
GAAGGACGGUACCUUCGGGUACCCGAGCGUACACAGGUGCUGCAUGGCUGUCGUCAGCUCGUGUCGUGAGAUGUUGGGUUAAGUCCCGCAACGAGCGCAACCCUCGCCUUAGUUGCCAGCAUUUAGUUGGGCACUCUAAGGGGACUGCCGGUGAUAAGCCGAGAGGAAGGUGGGGAUGACGUCAAGUCCUCAUGGCCCUUACGGGCUGGGCUACACACGUGCUACAAUGGUGGUGACAGUGGGCAGUGAGCACGCGAGUGUGAGCUAAUCUCCAAAAGCCAUCUCAGUUCGGAUUGCACUCUGCAACUCGAGUGCAUGAAGUUGGAAUCGCUAGUAAUCGUGAAUCAGAAUGUCACGGUGAAUACGUUCCCGGGCCUU